GAAAGCUCUGGAAGAAUCGGGGCGGGGGGGGAGAGAAACUGACGGCCAUGAGUUGUUCGCCGGUGAUUGGUGGCGAGUGAGGUCAUUCUUGUUGCUAAGGCCCGCCGCCUCAGAGAAGCAGAUUUCGAGAAGCGGGAAACAACUGUUCAGCCAGGCCGUGUCACAAUUUCCUCUUCUGAAUUGACCUGAAAUUAAUACUUGCAUCAGAUGAGCAUCUUGCUGCAUUGUGUUGACCUGGGUUGCAGAACCAGUUUUCCACAUCGGCAUAGACACGAGGGCAGGCUGCAUCCUGAGCUUUGCAACAUGAGAGGAUCCUACUUACUGCCAGCACUUCCGCACUGCUGCUCUGGUCAGCUAGCAAAAAAACCCCAACACACACAAGACAACAAUGAAAAAACAGAUGAAUCACCUCUGGAAGGGAGUUCCAAAGAGAGGGGUGGUGAUGAUGCUACGGACCAUGUCUCUGGUCCCUGCCAACCAGAUCUGCAUCACUGGUGAAAUAUCAGAUUUGGAAUCGUACUCAGUCUAGUCUUCGGUCUUACUGGAAUCUCACUGGUUCCUUCCAAAGAAGGAGAUCAGGUAACCUUUAUAUUGUCAAAGCAGGAGGUAAAUGUAUGAUAGUUGUUUUACUAGGCUGAAGGUCAACUGAAACCAAAGUCAGUGUUUUAUCUAGAACUGGAUGACAUUUUAUGUUUCAAAUGUGAAGUGCCAGAUUCUGGUGGUAAAAAAUUAUUCUCCCCAGUUCAAAAGUCCUUCGCUGGGGUAGCCAACUGCAGCAUGUGUUAAAUCACAUCAUCUUUCACACAGAGUUCAUCAUAUGAACAAGCGAAGAACUCUAUGAAGUCCAGAAGCUUAUAUAACCCAAUCUCAACGUAUGUUGAUCCAUGAAAAUAUAUAUAAUGUAGCCUGCUUUUGA